rnacentral:tRNA from 1 species
UUUUAGUUCAGUUGGUAGGACGCAGGUCUCUAAAGUCUGAUGUCGUCGGUU